GAAGGGUGGACUUUGUCUUUCAAGUAAUCGAUUUUCUGGGAGAAGUACCACUCAGGAGCUCUUGGCUCAAUGUUAUACUUCUUAACGAAUGGAACCCACUUUCUAGCAAACUCUGAAGUCUCAGCCAAUGCAUCAAAAGUCAGCAUUGCAGCACCAUCGUCAGAUACAUAGCAAGAGACCUUGUCCACUGGGUAAUCAACAGCAAGAAUGGACAGCACGGUAUUGGCAGUAACAAGAGGAGGUUCCUUCAUGGGGUCGACUGUACUGACAAAAAUGUCAACAGCAGCCAACUGAGAUGGCUCACCUUCUCUGAGAUCACCUCAAUGCCAGCCUAUCAAGGUAGGUUUCACGGUUGAUUGGAAACCACUUCGGGAACUGAUCCAAUAUCCAGGACAAAGCAAACCAAAUCUCACAUAUAACAGAUAAAAGCCAGAGCGGAUACGCAUUGCGCACAGGAUUCGUAAUACGGUAGUGAAGGAAAAUGCUUAGAACAACCAAACGCAGAACAAUGACCAUUCUGUAGGGAUUUAUUCUGGAUGAAGGAAGGGGAACUUUUCUAGAGAGAGGCUGGCGAAUGUCAGAACUCACAGUAAGGCAUCUUCCAUAUUGUAAUCAGUGGAUGCAUCGAUAUCACCAACUCCCCGACCUUCAGAAGGGGCAAUGCUUGUCCCGUUGGUCAUGGGAAUUGCUCCCUUGUCCUGCUUCAGUUUCCAGCCAUCAACUCUUUCUUUCCAGGCAACAUUUCCAAUGCUGCCAGAGA
rnacentral:sRNA from 1 species